ACCUAUUAUCCCAAGGUAGAUAAGGUCUUAUGUGGAUGUUCUGGACAAGGGAGAUACAGAAUGGCUCUUAAGAGAGCCCCUACGAUAUUUAACUCUAUAAGGAAUGAUAAAGAACGUAUUCUAAAGAGUAAGAGGGCAGGUGUAUAUACUAUCCCCCUGUAUAAUGAAGAUGAAGAUAGACAGCAAUAUUAUGUGGGGAGUACUGGUCGAAGCCUGGAAAAGCAGGUUAAAGAACACCAUGCAGAUAUUCUAGCGGGUAGGAUGACCACGGCUCUGGUGCGCAAGGCUUAAGAGCAAGUUAUAACUAUUGACUGGAAAGGAGCAGAGCUUGCCAAACCUUCCCAAGACUGUUUAGGACUCACCACCCUGGAAGCCAUGCACUUACUGAAAAUGAGGCAUGCCCAUUAUAUGAUCAAUGAUAAGAACCCUCUUUUACUUCCUCAAGCUUGGAGAUGGUGUGUGGAAAACAAUCUAUAGACCGGUUAGAGAUUAUGCUGCUAAUAUGAGAUUCCGGUCUAAUGUUACGUACUCUACCUAUUUUUGAUGAAUACUACACGUGUCUCUACCUGACUGAAGAUACCCCUUUCCCCAUCCCUGUCUGAAGGAUGCGUUGCUCUCCCUCUCUUAGAUCGUCGAUACUGACCUUUAUUUUUGUUAAAUGCUCUAUAUGGAUUUUUCUGUAGUCUGUUUAUUUAGUAGGAUAUCCAUUUUAUAUAUAUUGUAAACUAAGCAUACUUUUUAUGUUUGUGUUAUUGUUAAAAAUUUUAAUUUAAACCAUGAUGUAACUGACGCUUAAACUAUAUUCUAGUUCUAAUGUUCGAAUGUUCUUUUGUUACAUUUAUAUAUAUUUUGUCUUAAGAUGUCAAGUUCUUCUGUUGUACUGAUGAGGGACCACCCAUAGGUCCGAAAACGUUUUACAAUAAAACUUUCUUAUGCUUGCAUUUAGUGCUGUGUACUGGACUUAUUUUAUGAUAAUAGGCAA
rnacentral:lncRNA from 1 species